AAAAAGUCAAACUUUAGGUUUCCGUGUCCAAUUUUAACUGUCCGUCUUAUAUGAAAUUUUUUUAUAAUUUGCAUUUUCAUUGUUGUUAGAUGAUAAGACAUGAUUAAUAUUUUAUGCGUAACUUGUCUUUUUAAUUUUUUUCAUAUUUUUUUCAAAUAAGACGGUUUUAAUUUUUUUCAUAUUUUUUUCAAAUAAGACGGAUGGUCAAACGUUGGACAUGAAAAUCAAGUUUUGUCUUUGUC
rnacentral:pre_miRNA from 1 species